rnacentral:rRNA from 1 species
UACGGGGGGGGCAAGCGUUGUUCGGAAUUACUGGGCGUAAAGAGCGCGCAGGCGGUCGUUUAAGUCGGAUGUGAAAGCCCCCGGCUCAACUGGGGAGGGUCAUUCGAUACUGAUCGACUUGAAGGCAGGAGAGAGAAGUGGAAUUCCCGGUGUAGUGGUGAAAUGCGUAGAUAUCGGGAAGAACACCAGUGGCGAAGGCGACUUCUUGGCCUGUUCUUGACGCUGAGGCGCGAAAGCUGGGGGAGCAAACGGG